GACAGUAAACAACUUCAUAUAUUUGUCAAAACUCACUGAACUGUACUCUUAAAAUGGGUAGAUUUAGGUCUGUAAUCUUGGUGGGCAAUACAGAGUCAUGUGUGUUCACUGUAAGGGCGGACCAACAAGAAUUUGUUUCUACUUUCAAGUUGCCUCUCUUUAAUAGGGGUGACUCUUCCAGUUGCAAGGAAGAAAUUGUGGUAACUGGAGUGAGAGAGUAAGGACAGGAUAUAUUCAGGGUAUUGUGAUCAAGGGUCCCAAAGGACUUAGCUUGUGCUAUGGCCACUGAGAGAUGAAAACAGAUCUUUGGUAAUCUGAUGGCA
rnacentral:snoRNA from 1 species